rnacentral:ribozyme from 1 species
AGCAUCUCAAGCUAACAUGUACCAUAUUGAUGAUUAUGGAAAACAAAGGAAUAAAAAUGGAAAAAGAGGAGGGAAAUCUGUAUUUCUCAUGUCUUUUCCGCCCUAUCUUCAUCCUUUUUACCCUUU